rnacentral:lncRNA from 9 species
GGUAGCGGCCCGCGCGCGCCGCCAGCCGGGGGCUAGCGCCAGCCACGAGGGAGCGUCCGCGGCCUGCGCACCCGCGCCACAGCGGAGAGAGUCUACAGUUCAUAAUGGAGCAACUGCACUGGCUGUUGGAAGGAGAAGAUUCUGAAGAUAGGGAGGAACCUUCUUAUUCAAAACACCUUUCAAAGUCAAUGCAUAAAAAUAGCAGGCAGCUUCCACUUGCAGGCCUUUUGAAGCUGGAGAAGAGGUGUUUUUCAUGAGAAGAAACUGAGUCCCAGGAAGAUGAAAUGACUUGCUACAUCAGCCACAAGUACUCGCUCAGCAUGAACUGGGCACUGGGAGCUGGACAGCAUCGGCCAUAGAGUGGAGACCACAGUGGACACGGCCCUUCAUAAAUCCUGAGGCUAUGCAUUCAAGACUAUAAAUUUCUCUUUAAGCACUGCUUUCUCUCCCCCACAAAUUUUGAAUCUGGAGUUACUUCACAUUUUUCUUGCUUCUCCCUCUGCUCCAGCCCUCAAGCAGUGAGCCUUGCCCAGGCAUAUUUCUUCUUCUGUUUGUACAUUCAGAAUUGCUGACUUACGGUGCUGAAAUGCAUCUGAUAUGCACACGAGGCCUUGAACUUAAAAGAUGGAUGUCAGAAGGGCCCAGCAGCCAACUUCCAGAGCCAGAAUAUUUCUCAACAAAGAGGAAAUUUGUUGAGAGUUGGACUAAAUCUCAAGAUCCCUUUGCGUCAACAGAAGACUCUACAAAUACUAACAGACACCAAAGGAGAGGAAGGCAGGUCCAGUGCUGGGUUUUUGCAGACUUUACCAGGUGGCCCACGUUACACAGCCAACAGCAAAUGGACUCAGUCUCCUGGAUUUAACGGCCUGAAGCUUCUGCCAGAUUCACCCUUCAGAAAUAGUUUCCUUUUUCAAAUGAAUGUCAACCAUUCUCUACUGAAGCUAAUAUCACCACCUUGCAAAUGGAAAUGGGAUCACAGGGCUGUGACUUGCUUCUUCCACAUACUGUGAAGUGACUCGUGCUUUUUGUAUCCCGUCAGAGGACUCUGCCGACGAGGAGACUGUGCCGAUAUUCUCUGACAUUCCCCUUUAGAAAGCACUGAAGCUGUUUCUAGUUUCAAAUUGUGCAGGAAGGCUUCCUAUCGAAAUCUAAUUUUUGUGUAUGGUGCGAGGUCAAGGUUCUUUUUUUUUUUUAAUGUGGACGUACAGUUGAUCUAGCAUCAUUUGUUAGGAAAGUUUUCCUUUCUCCAUUGAGUGAGUGUUUGUGUGUGUGUAUUUCAGGACUUUCUUCUGCCUCACUAACUUGUUUAUCUAUCUUUAUGUAGGUAACAGUGUCUUAAUUAUUAUGGUUUUUAAGCACUCUUUAAAAGCAGGUAGGAUAAGUUAAAUUCGUUCUUCUUUCUAAGGUUAUUUUUACCAUUCUUCAUCUUUUGCAUUUUCAUGUACAUAUAUAAUCAGCUUGUUAAUUUCUAUUCCAAGCCUCAUGGAAUUUCAGUUGGGACUGCACUGAAUUUAUAUAUCAAUUGCACUGAAAUUGUAGAUCAAUUUUAGCAAUAUCAAUUUUUCCCAUCCUUAAGUUAUAUGGCUUAAGUUUUUAUUUAAUAACUUUCUAUGAUAUGUAGUAGUUUUUAUUUUAUAUUUUCAUAUUUUUAUUUUAUUUUUUGUCUUUUUAGGGCUACACCUGUGGCAUAUGGAGGGUCCCAGGCUAGGGGUUGAGUUGGAGCUACAGCUGCCAACCUACACCAAAGCCACAGCAAUGCCAGAUCCAAGCCACGUCUGCCACCUAUACCACAGCUCAUGGCAAUGCCAGAUCCUUAACCCACUGAGCAAGGCCAGGGAUUGAACCUGCAUCCUCAUGGAUGCUAGUCAGAUUUGUUUUCACUGAACCACGAUGGGAACUUCUGUAGUAGUUUUUAGAAUAUGAGUUUUACCUAUCUUUAUUUUUGAGUAUUUUAUGUUUUUCCUAUAGUUAUAAAUGAAUUGCUCUUUAAUUUUGUUUUCUUAGAGUUUUCUAGGAAAAUAUUAAAAUAUAAUAUUAUGUAUAUUGACCUUAAUUCCUAUAACUUUGCUAAAUUCGCUUCUUAGUUCUAGUCGUUUUGGGGGGGUAGAUUUCGUAGACGGUUUUAUAUUAGUUUGGGUCAACUGCAAAAAAAAUAUUUUGCUUCUUUUUAAAAAGAUUUGUAUACCAUUUUUUUCUUACAUUGUUGUGCUAGAUAGGGCUUCCAGUAUAUUGUUGAAUAGACAUGGAGAGAGUGGAUAUCUUGUUCCCGAACUAAGAAGCAUUCAGUAUUUCACCAUUAAGUGUGACACUAACUGUUGUUUCUUCGUAUAUGCCUAUGAUCAUGUUGAUGAAAUUCCUUUCUUUUCCGAUUGUUUUGAGAAUUUUUUUUUUCAUGAAUGGGUGUGACAUUUUGUCAAAAAUGUUUUCAUAUCAACUGAGAUGUUAUUUUUUUCUCUUUGAUUCUGUUCAUGUGAUGAAUUACAACUAUUGAUUUGAUAAUGCAAAACCAACCUUAUAAUCCUGGCAUAAGCUCCACUUAUUAAUAACAUUUAUCAUUUUCAUAUAAUGCUGAAUUUGAUUUGUUAAUAUUUUACUGAAGACUUUGUGUAUUUAUUCAUGUAGGAUACUGGUCUAUAAUUUUCUUGUAGUGUCUUUGUCAGGUUUUGGUAACAGAGUUAUUAUCCUGGCCUCAUUAAACUAUGUGAAAAGCAUUUUAUUCUAUUUUCGCAAAGAGUUGGUAUAACUGUGGUAUUAGUUCUGUCCUUAAACCUUUGAUAGAAUUUGUGAGUAAAGCCAUCUGGGC